CCCCGGGGCAGGUUUAGGGUCUCGCCCCGCGUCCUCACGCAGCGGGCGGGGAAGGGCGGGAGGGGCAACCGCGAUCCAUGCGCGCCCUCUGUAAACCUACGCCCAGCACACCUCACAGCCCCAGCUUCCCGGAAGACGCGGUCAGCCCCGAGCCCUCUUCGGGAAAAGCCGGCCAAGAAGUCAGAGAGCAGCGACUGAUUGGACUCGAGGACCUGCAUAAUCCCUGCAAACAGUCAGGUAACUGAGGACAAGAGGGGUUAAACGACUUCCGUGCUCACACACAUGGCUGAGUGGGGACUCAGACUCAGCUCUAAUCUCAAACCAUUAUUGCUCUUAACCAUGAAGCAGUACUACCAUUACUGCCCCUGGAAGUGAAACUCAGUGGGAUGUGGUGUGGGAAAGGGCUUUGUGGCUGGAAAUGCCGACUGCUGAAACACUCUGCUGUUGCUCCAGUUCUAUUUACUGCUCUGAAUCUGUGCCUUAACCUGUAAAGGAGGGUAGUUAUAAUGCCUGCCUCACCGGAUUGUUAGCAGUGUGUGAGGUCCUGGCACACAGUAGGCCUUGCACAAAUGUUUAUUAACUGAAUGAAAGGCCCACUUGUGAAGAGUCUGGAUGUGUUAACCUUAACAAUAAAACUAUCACUUAUUUUAAUGG